UCGACCGGAGGGGCGGCUGCCCGCGACCUUGAAGUGUUCGCGGCUCGCUGGGGGUUGCGAUUUCCCGUGCGAUCCCGACGCGCCGCAUGACC
rnacentral:tRNA from 1 species